rnacentral:rRNA from 1 species
GUGAGGAAUUUUGCGCAAUGGGGGCAACCCUGACGCAGCGACGCCGCGUGGAGGACGAAGUCUUUCGGGAUGUAAACUCCUGUCAGUGGGGACGAUAAUGACGCUACCCACAGAGGAAGCACCGGCUAACUCCGUGCCAGCAGCCGCGGUAAGACGGUGGGUGCAAGCGUUGUUCGGAAUUACUGGGCGUAAAGCGUAUGUAGGCGGCAAGUUAAGUUCAAUGUUAAAGCCCACGGCUCAACCGAGGAGUUGCAUUGAAUACUGGCUAGCUAGAGGGUGUUAGAGGAAGACGGAAUUCCCAGUGUAGCGGUGAAAUGCGUAGAUAUUGGGAGGAACAUCGGUAGCGAAAGCGGUCUUCUGGGACAUACCUGACGCUGAGGUACGAAAGCGUGGGGAGCAAACGGGAUUAGAAACCCUUGUAGUCC